AAGUGCAUUGAACUUAAGAUUCAAAUAUAAAGUAUUUUUAAACUUUUAUUAAAA
rnacentral:tRNA from 1 species